UAGUCAUGGCCAUUAGCAAUUUUCACGUCAAUUUGGCUAGGCUUUAGCCAUCUAGCGGUCGAUGUUUCAACGGUUUUAUUGUUCGGAGGAGAACAGAAAUUCUUGUGUGAUUCCCCUGCCGAUUUCUCACCUCCGAUGACGGAAAGGAAUGCAGAAAAUGGAAGAAGGCAAAAUAUUCGUGUGUGACAUGAACAGACAGAAACCAGUCCGUAUCUUUCCUAUCCCGACGAUUGGAGUUGUUGAUUAUUUUUUCCUCUCCACUCGUCUCACAACAUUCCGAAAACGCCUGGCGCCGCCAUGACUCUUUCAGCCUCUUCGUCAUCACAGAGAAUCAAACAAAUGGAAACAUGUGUGUGUUAUUUGUGCUUGUUGUGUAGACGUCUGCUGCAGCUCAAUAAUAUCCUUUCUGUUUCUUUUUUCGUACCAGUUUGUCCCUCCGUUCGUGCAGUUAAAAAAUAUUUAUAUAUUUAAAAAGAAAUAGAGGCCAAUAGGUGUAUUAUGCUCCUCCUAUUUCGUUUGAUUUCGUUCGUUUCUCUCCUCUCUCUCUUUCUCGGGACAUGCACUCAAUGCCAAGCGGAUUAAGGAAUCAUCGUUCAUUUUCCCUUUUUUUCUUUCUUUACUCUUUUUCAUUCCACUUCUACCUCUUACUUUCGUAAUGGCGAAACAUGAUGGCCAAGCGCCGAUUUCCCACACAGCCAAAAAGGACUCGACAUGAAACCGUCACUAUACCGAGAAGAAAAAAAAAUGAGCUCGGCUAUAAUAUACUAUUACACAUAUAGCUGGGACUCCUACACACAUCAUUGGCAUUUGCUCAGCUAAGCCACACAGAGAGACAGCACAGAGCCCUUUAAAGAUAAAAUAGCCUGAAACUGCAUUUUAAAACGACGCUUCUGGCAUUCGAUUGCUACAAUAAAAUAAGAGGAAUGGGAAGAAAGUGUUGAUGAUACACGAAAAACCAUCCUCAGUGAAGCUCAUCAUCAUGCUUGAAAUCCCACAUCUUUCUUGGCUGGCUAGCUCUCUCGUCACUCAAGACGUUGUCCUCAUUUCUUUACACAGAAGAAAAUGCUAUAUUCAAUGACGAUGCCUCCUCCAUUCCUUCCAUGCUCAUUUAUCUAUACAUAUAUCUCCUGGUUUGGUGUGUCUGUAUGGAUAUUGUAUUGUUGUGUGCCUGUGUUAUUGUAUACCAAAUCCAGGCAUUCACAGCUGGUAUUGUCUGACGGAAUGCUUUUGUGUAUAUUUCAGCUCUUAUUCCUACGCUUUUUCAUUGCUUCUUUCUCCCCCAUUUCUCCACCCUCCUUUUUAAGAUUUCCCCCCACACUCGUCCUACACAUCUGAUUAAGAAUAUGCACGCGUGCCAAUGCUUCGUGCCCUUACACAGAAAGGAAAAAAGUUUCAAAUUUUAUGGUUAGUAUACAAGGCAUAUUUUUUUCUUUAGAUGGUGGAAGGAUGGAAAGUAUAAUAGAAGCAUUGCCGCCGCCCAGUUUCUUUGAUUUUCCUUCUUCCUUCCAUCCGUUCACAUGCGCAUUAACUAAGUCCAUCCAUCCAGGCAGGCAGGCAAUGAAAAAAAAAAAAGUAAAAAAAAAGGGAAAUUCCAUUUUCAAUAG
rnacentral:lncRNA from 1 species